ensembl:snRNA U5 U5 spliceosomal RNA
AUACUCUGGUUUCUCUUCAGAUCGUAUAAAUCUUUCGCCUUUUACUAAAGAUUUCCGUGGAGAGGAACAGUUAUGAGUUUAUACCCAAUUUUUUGAGGCCUCGUAUUUUUACGAGGCU